CACUGCCAUAAAUGGUGUGCUCCGCGUUCGUGGUGCAACGGGCUUGUAUCAGCCUGUUUUCAGACACUGACUAGCUGAAGCAGGGAGGGAAAUCCUGGAAUCCCCCUCCAGAUAAACAGCUGACCUUUAGACCAACGCUCAACCCAGUCACAGGCACAUCUGAAGGUUAAUCUUGGUGGAUCCCACCCAGGGCCCUACACUCCCUACUUUACACCUCGUAGAAUUCCCUGUGUUGAAGUCCAAGGAUGCAGUGUUUCUACUCUAGCCAGUAAGAUGAAUGAAAAAUCUCUUCUCAAGAAGAUAGUAACACAACUGAAACAAGCAGAAGUCAAAUCUGUCAAGUCCCAACACACCACGAAUAUAACAAUCCUUGAAUGCCACAGGACCAGAGAUCAAGCACCCCCCUGCAGUUCUAUUUUGAAAAGUGACUCUGAAAUGACACUGUAGGGUUCCAGACGUGUCUCACUGAGUCCAUAUCAAAUGAUCUCAGUUUACAAACACAAUUAUGUUUUUUGUUACCUGCUGGCCUUACAAGUUCACCUUGAGUUGGUUUCCUUCUUUCUCAGGAAAUGGAGAAAUUUCUGGUGGGCCGGAUGAAUGCCGAUGUGGAAGAGCCACAAACCAGGCCCCAUGGGGGAGAGAUGGGAUAAUCGAUGCCAGUGUUACCAUAUGGAAUUUGGAUUUCCUGAUUAAGGUGUUUUAGUAGCUGAAGGUUGAGAAUGGGACAGUGCCCUUUUGAUAUGGAAUCAGUGAGAGACUGGCCCCCAUAAUGUUAUUUCAUGGAGUCACCUUUCAAAGUACUUCUCUACCUUAAGAAUGAUUAUUCCUUAACCUAAAUAGUUCAUAUGACAGCAAUCCAACAAGAUCUGUAUUGGCCUGGUAAUAGCCAAUAAAAACUCUACACACUCAUGAAAGAUAAACAGGACUAUUUUUGGCCAGGAUGGGCUGAGUUAAGCUGUGGUUGCUAUGGGGAGGCACAAGAAGCCACCACAGUUCAAUUCAAAAGCUGCCUCAGUUUAAUAGCAUCGCUCAGCUUUUCUAAGCUUGGACUCCUAAAUGGUUUGAGUUUACGUUGUCUAGAACGCUCUUGGAAGCAAACCCUCCAAGGGAAAGGACCUCACUAAGCAAGCACUAUGGAGCAGAGCCAAUGCCGGGUAAUGGAACCAACAAGACCCACCAGAAGCACAGCAAGCUUGCCACAAAAAAGCGUAAGAAAGGAAAACAAAUAGUCCGAACGAAGCAUAAUGGAACAUCUCAAUUAGGCUGAAUUUAAGUCUCAUGCACAUGUUCCCUUCUGCACAAACUCACCUUCACC